GUGAGGAAUUUUCCGCAAUGGGCGAAAGCCUGACGGAGCAAUGCCGCGUGAAGGAUGAAGGCCUAUGGGUUGUAAACUUCUUUUCUCAGAAAAGAAUUAUGACGGUAUCUGAGGAAUAAGCAUCGGCUAACUCUGUGCCAGCAGCCGCGGUAAGACAGAGGAUGCAAGCGUUAUCCGGAAUGAUUGGGCGUAAAGCGUCUGUAGGUUGUUUAAAAAGUAUUCUGUCAAAGAUUAGGGCUUAACCCUAGAUAGGCAGAAUAAACUUUUAAGCUAUAGUUGGGUAGAGGCAGAGUGAAUUCCCGGUGGAGCGGUGAAAUGCGUAGAUAUCGGAAGGAACACCAAAGGCGAAGGCACUCUGCUGGGCCAAUACUAACACUGAGAGACGAAAGCGAGGGGAGCAAAUGGGAUUAGAUACCCGAGUAGUCC
rnacentral:rRNA from 1 species